AAUGUAUCAGGUGGAGUUAUUCACUAGCUAUAGAGUGAGUCGUUGUUUAUGUUUCUAAGACUGCAGGGUGGGAGAUGCAACAUUGUCCUUGAGAACAGCAGGAAGUGUGUUGGGGGUCUUUGUCUGGUCUGUAGCAGAAAUGAUGCUGAGGAGAAUCCUGUUAGUCUGAGUGAUGAACCAGACUACACAGGUCAUGUGACAUACUGUAGCAACAAGAAGAAUGGCCACACCCUGACAAUCAGAUCUGAGAGAGAGAGACUCAGCUAUGUACAAGUUCAGAUUUAUAACAGAUCAGACCGUAAGGAAAUAUAGUGGUGAUCCUGGAGUCACUCUGACUGUCACAGAGUGUCCAUCCUGACCCUAACUGGGACACACACACCACUGAAAAUGAGGAUCAGACACUCUGGCUGUAAGUAUGUUAUAACAUAUUCAUUAAUGUGUUUAUUUUGUAUAUAGUAUUUGUGUUUGUUUGUGUGAGUGGGUAAGUGGGUGAGUGAGAGAAAGACAGACACAGAGGAGAGAGAUGAACACAGAAAGUAGAAGUGAGAGAGAAUACUAUAGAGCAGUGUGUAAAGUGCUCAUACUGUGUUUCCUUUGUCGCUGUCUCUCUCUCUGAGUGUGAAAAUCUCCCACAGUGACACGUUCACAUCUCUUCAGAGAGACGCUCAGCACUCCGUGUAUCAGACCAUCCAGGGAAGAGAACCACCACGGAACCUGGAGGGAAGAGAACCACCACAGAACCUGGAGGGAAGAGAACCACCACAGAACCUAGAGGGAAGAGAACCACCACAGAACCUGGAGGGAAGAGAACCACCACAGAACCUAGAGGGAAGAGAACCACCACAGAACCUGGAGGGAAGAGAACCACCACGGAACCUGGAGGGAAGAGAACCACCACAGAACCUGGAGCGAAGAGAACCACCACAGAACCUGGAGCGAAGAGAACCACCACAGAACCUGGACUGAAGAGAACCACCACAGAACCUGGACUGAAGAACUAUGGCCCCAAAUCAAAGCCAGUCCUUACACCUCUAUUCUCUUGCUAAUAUAUUGUUAUAAUAUCUUGAAGUUUCACCCAAAUGACAAAAUGACACAUUGGUUUCCCAUCCCUUUUAUCAGUCUAUGAACAUGGUGUGACAUCAGUCCCUGCUUUGGUUUAGUUUCUCCUGACACUGUUUCCACUUGCUAACGUUUUAGCAUUCGUGGCACAAAUCCCAUUCAAGUAAUGUGACUGUUAAGAGGCAUUUCUCGCACAUAAUUUUUAAAUCAAUCAAAAUAUAUUUUUUAAAUGCGUUGUGAAGCUCAACAAAGUCACUUCCAGAUGAUUUGAACAUGAUGAGAGAAUGUUAAUAUGUGAAAUAUUAACAUCGGUCCCAUGACUUGAAUGGGAUUUUUGUUACAAAUGCUAUAAUGUUAUGUACAUGUGGGAGUGUUCGACUUUGCACCCGACUUUAUAGGCAAGUCGAGAUCUACAAAUCACCUUGAAUGAUGAAUAACUACUCAAUAUUAUUUAUAGAUCAUUCAGUCAGUCACAAUGUACCCAUGAUACAUCAGUUUUGAUGCUCUCGAACACUGUCUGUGUGACUACUGAAGGAAGCCCUCUCUGCAUAAGCUUCUUGGUCCCUGACAUAGAGUUGGGUAGAAGGUACAUCUUGACAUCUUUGUCAUGAUGUCUUCUGUGACUGAGUGAGCAGCACCAUUGAGGGCUAUUUCCAUAUUCAAGUUUUUAAUAUCUUCAACUUCCAUAAGUUUAAUAACAGUCGGUAUACCAACUGAAAUGGUGUAUUCAAUGGCUUAGCCAUGCUAAAACAGGCUUUGAAGCAAGUACGCCCUCUACUCAACUCUAUUGUCCCUGACUGCUUCAAUGUUGUGUCAACCACAGACUUCAAACCUCACACUCAGUGUCUAUUUAUAUAGACUUCCAGUAAGUUAACUUGCAACACAUCUCAACUCUGUAAGUCUGCUUGACUAUAUCUUAAAAUAUGUUUAUUUUAUUA